rnacentral:rRNA from 1 species
GCGUAGAGUGCCCGCUCGGUUAGGUCAGGGCUCGAGCGACGCCAGCGACGAGUGCCGCUGCCGAUGGAGGCGGUGCUGGACGAGCCGUGGUGUCGAGGCGCUGCCGAUGGAGAAGGUGUUGAUCGAGGCGUGGUUCCGAUGUCGACGAGGUGGAGCGGCCACGACGCAGGGCGAGGGCAGAUGAAGCGGCCUUGUGACGAGAGUGGUUGGGGGCAGCGGCGGGGCGUUGUCGCGGCAAAGCCUUGGCGUUUCUUCAACGUGCGCGUAGGAUCGGCAGCGGGGACCACAAAAGGAAGGUGUCAAGUUGGUUUAAGAUAUUUGAAAAACCUUACAUCCACUAGCUUGGUAGACACUCAAGACGAACCGCGGCGGGAACUAUUGUGCCACCGGUACCGGAGUUCGACAUACACACUGUAAAUGCCACAACACCUUCUGUGUUUACUCGGUUACCGGAACGGUACGGGUGGCUCCUCUAACACCCACCUGUUCUAAAUCUCCGGUCACUGCUAUAACAGGCGUCUUCUCUGUUACACGAUCGUAGGUCGAGUUCAAAUUGUUUAAAAACUAAAGAAACCUACGUUUAAUAUAAUAAAAAGCCUUCAUCUAAGAUUAAUUAUAGAGAUCUUCGUUACAGACUAACUACCUUUGUUGUUAUAAAAAAACCAACCCCCGUUAAGGUACAAAGUGAACUGUGUUAAAAAACCGGC